CCUACUGUGUGCACAGUGUUAUGCUAAGCACACAGAAGAAAUGACGAACUUAAUUCUGUGUUCUUGGGAAGUCCAUAGUUGGACUUUGAACUUGGUUACAGGCAACAUGUCAACAAGCAUAAAAUAACAUGGUCUCAUUUGGAAUGAAGCCCCAAGGGUUGAUGGCAUUUCAAUAGGGGAGAUUAACGAUAAUACCCAUGAGCAUUUUAUAAUUUUAUGGUUUUCCCAUUGUUUUUUCAUAAGUCAUUUCAUUUGAUUCUAACAACAGCUGUGUGAGAUGGAGGGAACAGAGGUCAGGAAUCCAUUUUAUAGGCAGGGAAAUGGAGUAACUCAGCUGAAGUUACACCUUCAGUGAAGUGCUGGGUUGAGGAAGCAGGUCUUCCUUAGAAUUCUUUCAGCUUCUACUAAGAGUAGCGGAAUACUUUACAAAGGAGGAAAAUUUAGAUCAAGGUCUGAAAACAGCUCAUGGAUAUAGACUGUUGAAAGAAAUUGGAGGGAUGCACAGAAAUGUGUGUGUGCACACACACAGGUAGGAGUGAUUUUGGAAAAGGCACAGAAUUAGAAAUAGGAAGUACUGUGUAAAGGGCAUCGAAGCUCUUUAAAAGAAUGACAAUAGUUGCCAUAGGGAAAGAGAAAAUUAGCCCAGAUGCUGGUGUUCAGGUUCCCUGGCCCCAUGGCCUCAUGUUCUCACGGCAUAUUUUGUAAAUACAUGGUUAUGUAACAGCUGAGAUCACUUAUAGCAGUGCGCAUGCGUCUCAUGAUGGACCUGCUUGGCCACGGGCCACUUUUGUUCUGUAAACUUAUAUAAGUUCCACCUGGAAAGUCCCUGAGGCUGCGGUAUGGCUGCGUCCUCUGGGUCAAGCACGAGAGGAGAGCGUACAGCGUGUCUGCUGCUGCUAUGGCCGCUGUGCCAGCCUGGAGAGAAGGAACGUGUCUGCAGUUCUAGGCUCUUUGAGUUUUCUUCCAGCUUCCCUGCUCUGGCCUUUCCUGCCCUGGAUUCAGUGAACAGCGAGAUACAAGACAGUUGCUAAAUUAAAAUCAGCUGUUAUCAACCCUGGGCGUUGGUUCCCAACAAGGGUCCUUCUGCCCUGUGUUGCUUGAGCCAAUAGAAUAAGACCCAGUUUUAUGGGUCUUCUUAAUGAAGAAGCCAAGGAAAGCUUUGUUCUUUCAUCCAAGAAUGAAGAGGUGCCAGCUGCCCACUCACUCAUAGACCGCGGGUGGGGCUUGAUAGGGCCUCAUUUGCAGGGUGGGCAGGGGGUGGAGGCUGGCAGGGCCGUGCAGCUGGGGUUCCAGGCCCGCGCCGGCUGUCUGCGCACCCCGCCGCCUCGGCACACGGCCCUGCCGCCGUCUGGGAUCGGUGCCGUGGGCAGCACUUCCGCGGACGUGUGGGGCGGCCGUUUUGAACCAGGAACUCGGGCCUGAGCGGCCGGAGUGAGGCGCCUGCACGCCGCAGCCUGUGAGCCGGUGACACCAGGCGAAGCACAAGGGGAAAAAAAAGAGAGAGGUAGACAGUGGCUGCCUUUCCUGUGUCUCCAUGGCUGCACCUUGGAAGUCCUCUUCUGAUCAGAGAACUGUUCUCACACGUGCUGACAGCGUCUCACUUCAAGCACCGGCAUCUCUCUGCUGGAAGGUUUUCUCUGCACCCCUGGGAAUUCUGGAGGUGAUGCCCCCAGGUUUGGUGAUCUCCCAACAGUGAGGAUGGAAGUUGGUGGAUAAACAGCAGCUUCAUUCCCCCAGGAGGACAUCAUUGAGAAAGAGAUCUUCACGUGUACAGACUCUUGCUGGUGUGGAGGGGCAUUCCAAGUGUCACAGUGUUUCCCCGACUCAAACCAGAAGAAAGUAGAAAAGACACGAUGGUCUAUUAAUAAAGAAGAGACCUAUAAUUUAAGUAGAAGAUAGAGGUGGAAGGAAAUGAGCGUUCCUCUUCUGAAUUAGGCACAGGUUUCAGCUUGAAUGAGUCACUCUGGUGGAGGAGUAGAUGGAGCCGUUGACUGAAAUGAAAAGAUUGGAGCAGAAAAGUCCCGGGCACCGUUCCAUUGCUGACGCCUGGCUUCCUGAAAAGCAUCUGUCAGACUAUGAUCUUCGUUACCAACAUCGAGGACCACGACAGCGCAUACAAUGUAUCUAAUGUAAAGCCAUUUCCGAGGCCUGUAUCUUCAUGUAAAGUUUUCAGUUAGUUGGUAGUUUAUUAAUGGCACCGUUUACAUUUGCCCCUGGAUGUGUUGCUGUAAUUAAAAUAACUCCUGAAUUUAUCACUUGAGCCCAGAAGAAUGAAUAAAGGCAUUACAUGA